AACGAACGCUGGCGGCAGGCCUAACACAUGCAAGUCGAGCGAAGCCUUCGGGCUUAGCGGCGGACGGGCGAGUAACGCGUGGGAACGUGCCCUUUGCUACGGAAUAGCCCCGGGAAACUGGGAGUAAUACCGUAUGUGCCCUUCGGGGGAAAGAUUUAUCGGCAAAGGAUCGGCCCGCGUUGGAUUAGGUAGUUGGUGGGGGAAUGCCUUACCAAGCCGACGAUCCAUAGCUGGUUUGAGAGGCUGAUCAGCCACACUGGGACUGAGACACGGCCCAGACUCCUACGGGAGGCAGCAGUGGGGAAUCUUAGACAAUGGGGGAAACCCUGAUCUAGCCAUGCCGCGUGAUCGAUGAAGGCCUUAGGGUUGUAAAGAUCUUUCAGUGGGGAAGAUAAUGACUGUACCCACAGAAGAAGCCCCGGCUAACUCCGUGCCAGCCGCCGCAGUAAUAC
rnacentral:rRNA from 1 species